GAGCGGUAAGGCCCUUCGGGGUACACGAGCGGCGAACGGGUGAGUAACACGUGAGCAACCUGCCCCUGACUCUGGGAUAAGCGGUGGAAACGCCGUCUAAUACCGGAUACGACCUUCCACCUCAUGGUGGAGGGUGGAAAGUUUUUUCGGUCAGGGAUGGGCUCGCGGCCUAUCAGCUUGUUGGUGGGGUAACGGCCUACCAAGGCGAUUACGGGUAGCCGGCCUGAGAGGGCGACCGGCCACACUGGGACUGAGACACGGCCCAGACUCCUGCGGGAGGCAGCAGUGGGGAAUAUUGCGCAAUGGGCGAAAGCCUGACGCAGCGACGCCGCGUGGGGGAUGACGGCCUUCGGGUUGUAAACCUCUUUUACCACCAACGCAGGCUCCGGGUUCUCUCGGGGUUGACGGUAGGUGGGGAAUAAGGACCGGCUAACUACGUGCCAGCAGCCGCGGUAAUACGUAGGGUCCGAGCGUUGUCCGGAAUUAUUGGGCGUAAAGAGCUCGUAGGCGGCGUGUCGCGUCUGCUGUGAAAGACCGGGGCUUAACUCCGGUUCUGCAGUGGAUACGGGCAUGCUAGAGGUAGGUAGGGGAGACUGGAAUUCCUGGUGUAGCGGUGAAAUGCGCAGAUAUCAGGAGGAACACCGGUGGCGAAGGCGGGUCUCUGGGCCUUACCUGACGCUGAGGAGCGAAAGCAUGGGGAGCGAACAGGAUUAGAUACCCUGGUAGUCCAUGCCGUAAACGUUGGGCGCUAGGUGUGGGGACUUUCCACGGUUUCCGCGCCGUAGC
rnacentral:rRNA from 1 species